rnacentral:rRNA from 1 species
GCUAUCAUGCAGUCGUGGGGCAGCAGGGGUAGCAAUACCCGCUGGCGACCGGCAAACGGGUGCGGAACACGUACGCAACCUUCCUUUAACUGGAGAAUAGCCCCUCGAAAGAGGGAUUAAUACUCCGUAACAUAUACAUGUGGCAUCACAAGUAUAUUAUAGCUCAGGCGGUUAAAGAUGGGCGUGCGCCUGAUUAGAUAGUUGGCGGGGUAACGGCCCACCAAGUCUGCGAUCAGUAACUGGUGUGAGAGCACGACCAGUCACACGGGCACUGAGACACGGGCCCGACUCCUACGGGAGGCAGCAGUAAGGAAUAUUGGUCAAUGGACGCAAGUCUGAACCAGCCAUGCCGCGUGGAGGAUUAAGGCCCUCUGGGUUGUAAACUCCUUUUAUCUGGGAAGAAAUUCAAGUAUUCUUAUUUGGUUGACGGUACCAGAGGAAUAAGCACCGGCUAACUCCGUGCCAGCAGCCGCGGUAAUACGGAGGGUGCAAGCGUUAUCCGGAUUCACUGGGUUUAAAGGGUGCGUAGGCGGGCAGGUAAGUCCGUGGUGAAAUCUCUGAGCUUAACUCAGAAACUGCCAUGGAUACUAUUUGUCUUGAAUGUUGUGGAGGUAAGCGGAAUAUGUCAUGUAGCGGUGAAAUGCUUAGAUAUGACAUAGAACACCAAUUGCGAAGGCAGCUUACUACACAAAUAUUGACGCUGAGGCACGAAAGCGUGGGGAUCAAACAGGAUUAGAUACCCUGGUAGUCCACGCCCCUAAACGAUGAUUACUCNACAUCAGCGAUACACUGUUGGUGUCUGAGCGAAAACAUUNAGUAAUCCACCUGGGGAAGUACGAUCGCAAGAUUGAAACUCAAAGGAUUUGACGGGGGUC